rnacentral:rRNA from 1 species
GACGAACGCUGGCGGCGUGCUUAACACAUGCAAGUCGAACGGAAAGGCCUCUUUCGGGGGGUACUCGAGUGGCGAACGGGUGAGUAACACGUGAGUAACCUGCCCUUGACUUUGGGAUAACUUCAGGAAACUGGGGCUAAUACCGGAUAGGAGCUCCUGCUGCAUGGUGGGGGUUGGAAAGUUUCGGCGGUUGGGGAUGGACUCGCGGCUUAUCAGCUUGUUGGUGGGGUAGUGGCUUACCAAGGCUUUGACGGGUAGCCGGCCUGAGAGGGUGACCGGCCACAUUGGGACUGAGAUACGGCCCAGACUCCUACGGGUGGCAGCAGUGGGGAAUAUUGCACAAUGGGUGGAAGCCUGAUGCAGCAACGCCGUGUGCGGGAUGACGGCCUUCGGGUUGUAAACCGCUUUCGCUCAUGACGAAGCUUUGUGUGACGGUAGUGGGUAAAGAAGCACCGGCUAACUACGUG